CUCUGGUUAGCUUAGUUGGUAAAGCGCUCUACUGGAAAUCGAGAGCUUCCGAGUUCGAUACCCGAACCAGGAG
rnacentral:tRNA from 2 species